rnacentral:lncRNA from 1 species
CUGUCAGACCAAGUCACCAUCAGCCUCUCAUCUGAACUGCCAGUUGUUGUUGAGUACAAGAUUGGUGAGAUGGGCUACAUUAGGUUUUACUUGGCACCCAAGAUUGAAGAGGACGAGGAAAUGAAGGCAUGAUUGUGUUUCAAGGAUCUGCUGAUCUUGCCUACAAUAGCUGUUAUCUGGCACCCAAGAUCGAAGACAAGGAAAUGAAGGCAUGGUUGUGUUUCAAGGAUAUUCUUAUGUUGCCUACAUUCCCCUAGUUGUUAGUCGUUAAACCGACCUCCAUUUGCUUAACGAUUGUUUGUAAGCAAAAAUGGUGUUAUGCUUGUUUUAGCUAUUUAGCUACUUGUAUCUGUGACUGUUGGUCCAUGGAUUUCCAUUGAUGAAUGUUGGUCUUUUAGCUACUUGUAUCUGACUGUUGGUCCAUGUUACACCAGUGCUGUUAUUGGUAGGCAAUGACUUGGAUUGAUUGAAUGCAUUUCUAGGUAUCGCAGAGUGUUUUGCAUCAGGUAGAUGCUGCAAUGAUUGCAACUUGCAAAAACUGUCA